rnacentral:misc_RNA from 1 species
CCAAACUUGGUCAUUUAGAGGAAGUAAAAGUCGUAACAAGGUUUCCGUAGGUGAACCUGCGGAAGGAUCAUUACCGAGUCAUCGCUGGGGUUUCACCUCCUCCUCGGAGGAGGUCCCCGACUCCCACCCUACCGCGAACCGUUCCCUCGUUGCUUCGGCGGACCGGCCGUCGGGUUGAGGUCGACCCUCGUCCGACGGCCACCGCGACGCCGCCUCUCUUUUGAGGGCGCGUCGGGCCGACGUCCGCCGGAGGAUCCUCCAACCCUCGAACGUGACCGGUCUGAAAGAAACGAUCCCCUCCGGGGGAGGAAUGGAGGAAAACUUUCAACAACGGAUCUCUUGGCUCCGGCAUCGAUGAAGAACGCAGC